rnacentral:lncRNA from 1 species
CUGUCAAUCCUAUCUCCUUAGUAAGAUGAUUAAGUCAUCUUUUACUAAAAAGAUGAAUGAGCCAAUGAUGUUUUGAGUCUGAUACAUACUGAUGUAUUUAAUCUACAAACAUAUUUACCAUAAAUUUAGAUUAUUUAAAAUAUUUAAAUAAUUUCUUAAUAGGGUAUUGAAAUAAACUAAAAGAGCAUUGAAAUUCUUCAGUC